CUAUGAGAAAGUAGAGACCUGAAGGAGUUUGAGCUGAUCUGUAGGACCGCCUGCUGCUGCAGUGUGCAAUCAGAAGGAUACGAAAAGAUCUCAGUAUGUGUAGGAUCUUACAGCUUCCUCUGCUCUCAGCUCUGUGAUGGUUGAUCUUGGCUGGAUUCCAGGUGCCCACAAAAGCAGCUCUAUCACUCCCCUCUUCACCUGCAAAGAGGAGAGAAAAUAUAAUCAAAGGGCCACAGGUCCUGCCAGGAGCCUGCUCCAAUGUAGGAUUCCCACAGAAUCACAGCCUCCUUCCAGUGCAUCUGCAGGUCCUUCACAGGAUGUCUGCCCCAACGUGGACUUCCAUGGACUGCAGAGGGACAGCCCACCUCACCAUGGUCUUCACCAUGGGCCGCAGCUGCAAUUGCUGUUCUGCAGUUCCUUUUCCCCUGAAAUCUGUUAUCCCAGAGAUGCUACUGCUGUCAUUGAUGGGCUCAGCCUUGACCAGUCGUGCAUUGGUUCUGUUGGACCUAAGGGAAGCUUCUUACAGCUUCUCACAGAAGCCACUACUCCAGUCCCCCUGCUACCAAAACCUUGUCAUGCAUACCCAAUAGAACCUCACACUAGCUCCACAGUUUUUUAAGCAAAGAA